AUUGAACGCUGGCGGCAUGCUUUACACAUGCAAGUCGAACGGCAGCGCGGGCUUCGGCCUGGCGGCGGGUGGCGAACGGGUGAGUAAUACAUCGGAACGUGCCCAGUAGUGGGGGAUAGCUCGGCGAAAGCCGGAUUAAUACCGCAUACUACCUGAGGGUGAAAGCGGGGGAUCUUCGGACCUCUCGCUAUUGUAGCGGCCGAUGGCAGAUUAGAUAGUUGGUGGGGUAAAGGCCUACCAAGGCGACGAUCGGUAGCUGGUCUGAGAGGACGACAGGCCACACGGGGAGUGAGACACGGCCCAGACUCCUACGGGAGGGAGCAGAGGGGAACUUUGGACAAUGGGCGAAAGUCUGAUCCAGUAAUGCCGAGUGUGUGAUGAAGGCCUUCGGGGUGUAAAGAACUUUUGGCGGGAACGAAAAGGACUGUGCCAAUACCACGGUUCGAUGACGGUACCCGCAGAAUAAGCACCGGCUAACUACGUG
rnacentral:rRNA from 1 species